rnacentral:rRNA from 1 species
CCCGGCCACAAGCGGAGGGAGCAUGUGGUUUAAUUCGAUGAUACGCGAGGAACCUUACCUGGGCUCGAACGUAAGAUGACUGUAGGUGAAAGCUUACAUCUCUUCGGAGCAUUUUACGAGGUGCUGCAUGGUUGUCGUCAGCUCGUGCCGUGAGGUGUCGGGUUAAGUCCCGCAACGAGCGCAACCCUUGUGUUUUAGUUGCAAACAGGUCAAGCUGUGCACUCUAGACAGACUGCCGUGGACAACACGGAGGAAGGUGGGGAUGACGUCAAAUCAUCAUGCCCCUUAUGAUCUGGGCUACACACGUGCUACAAUGGCCGGUACAACGGGCAGCGAAGGAGCGAUCCGGAGCGAAUCCUAAAAAGCCGGUCCCAGUUCGGAUUGCAGGCUGAAACUCGCCUACAUGAAGUUGGAGUUGCUAGUAAUCGCGAAUCAGAAUGUCGCGGUGAAUGCGUUCCCGGGUCUU